rnacentral:rRNA from 1 species
UAGGGAAUCUUCGGCAAUGGACGAAAGUCUGACCGAGCAACGCCGCGUGAGUGAAGAAGGUUUUCGGAUCGUAAAACUCUGUUGUUAGAGAAGAACAAGGACGUUAGUAACUGAACGUCCCCUGACGGUAUCUAACCAGAAAGCCACGGCUAACUACGUGCCAGCAGCCGCGGUAAUACGUAGGUGGCAAGCGUUGUCCGGAUUUAUUGGGCGUAAAGCGAGCGCAGGCGGUUUCUUAAGUCUGAUGUGAAAGCCCCCGGCUCAACCGGGGAGGGUCAUUGGAAACUGGGGGACUUGAGUACAGAAGAGGAGAGUGGAAUUCCAUGUGUAGCGGUGAAAUGCGUAGAUAUAUGGAGGAACACCAGUGGCGAAGGCGGCUCUCUGGUCUGUAACUGACGCUGAGGCUCGAAAGCGUGGGGAGCAAACAGG